rnacentral:rRNA from 1 species
CCCGUCACAUCACGAAAGUGGAUUGUACUAGAAGUCUGCGCGCCAACCGCAAGGAGGCAGCGGCCCAAGGUAUGAUUCAUGAUUGGGGUG